AAUCCAUCAUGCUAGUCGUACGAGUUCAGACUCGUGGCGUAUAGCUCAGUAACACGUGGUCAAACCACCCUCUGGACCGGGAUACCCUCGGGAAACUGAGGUCAAUCCCGGAUACCGCUUUCACGUUGGAAAAACGGAAAGCUGGAAACGGUCCGCCGCCGGAGGACGUGACUGCGGCCGAUUAGGUAGACGGUGGGGUAACGGCCCACCGUGCCAAUAAUCGGUACGGGUUGUGAGAGCAAGAGCCCGGAGACGGAAUCUGAGACAAGAUUCCGGGCCCUACGGGGCGCAGCAGCCGCGAAACCUUUACACUGCACGACAGUGCGAUAAGGGGAUCCCGAGUGCGAGGGCAUACAGUCCUCGCUUUUCGUGACCGUAAGGUGGUCACAGAAUAAGGGCUGGGCAAGACCGGUGCCAGCCGCCGCGGUAAUACCGGCAGCCCGAGUGAUAGCCAAUUUUAUUGGGCCUAAAGCGUCCGUAGCCGGCCGAACGGGUCCGUCGGGAAAUCCACCCGCUUAACGGGUGGGCGUCCGGCGGAAA
rnacentral:rRNA from 1 species